GUCCUAGGGAGUCUAUAUAAUGCCGCCGAGAGCCCUAAUCGCCCCUCCUCUCUCCAUUCCCACCCUCUUCUCGUCUCCCCCCAUCAAGGUAAGCUCCCACGCAUAGCCGCCGUCGCCACGGACAGAGCGAGCGCGAGAUCUGUUCCGGCGUCGUCCCCGCCGUCUCCAGCCUUCCCAAGCCGCGAGAAGCAGCGCCUCAUCCGCUGCCGUCGACCCCCGCAAGCUGUACGACCAGAGGAGCCGGGAACGACUACGUCCGCGUCCUCUUGUACUUCCCGGACGUCACCGGCUUCUUCCUCUACGUCGGCUCCGCUCCGGACAGCCUACGUCCUCUUCAACCUCGUGCGCGAGCCAUGAGUUUCGAAGACGCGGUCUGCAAGCUCGCUGCCGACAUAGCGGCCGCCUCGCCGGCGCUGGUGAAGAAGGCCGUGGACGCACUGGCGCGCAGCAGCCGUGCCUGCCCGCUGCGGAUGCCUUCAUCCACCUGUUCCUGGGCACGCUCUACGUGAUCGUCGCGGCAAUUUUCUUCGACACGGUCGCGGUCCGGGUCUGCGGCGGCGACUAGGCCGCGAGAUCCGUCCUGUCCGAGAUCACGGGAUGCAUCUUUAUAGCCUCCCUGCUUCUUUCAGCGCCGGCGUUCGUGCUCUUCUUCCUGCGCGCAGCAGGCAGCAGCAGCGAGCUGGCGGAGGGCCUCCUCAUGAAGUAUUUCGAUGCGCGGCUUUCUAGUGCCUCUGAAAGCCCUACGUCGCCGCUAGGCAGGGCAGCUGCACGGCUUUUUGCUUGGUCAUUUUGGUUGGGAUUAAUCUCGUGGAUUCUUCAGCUGUGUGGACUAUUUCCAGAGAUGUCUGACCUUCUGGCCGACGCGUCUAAACUGGGCAUCUGGUCAUGUUUCGCUCUCAUCUAUUUGCGUGCUGGAAUGGCGCUGCGGAGGAUGAAUCCCAGGCCCAGCGACAUCAUCGUGGCAGAGGCAGAUCACGCGGCUUCACCUACUCAGGAUUUCGAGCUGGCUGCAGCAAGUUGAUGGAUAUCAGUGCCAGUGCAGGGAGUGCUUCUGCUUCGUAGCUAUCGCGGAUGCUGCUGUGGAUAAAGAGAUGGGCAUGUCUGGUACAAGUAGUAUAACUUAGUAAGCUUGUUUCCAUGCCAUUCUAGGUCAGAGCUUAUGCAGUCAGAGUAUGGUAGUGGUAGUUUGUUUACUCUGAACCGGGCCUAUCCAACAUUUACCUGUGCACAGCCUAGCUAAGAACUGUCGGUAAUUAAGCUUAUCUCAAUGCAUGUCAUAAAGUGAGUUAGUACGCUGUGAUGAAGGCCUUCCUUCCAUUCUAUGUAAUCAUAGCGUUUUAUGUACGCUAUGGAGUAGUAUUUAACUUGCUGGGUUAAAUGCUAGACGUAGAAUCUGUCUAGGGACUAGCUAGGGAGUGGCGGUUGCAGGAGCAGGACGGGGGAAAGCAGGCAAGUGGUUGCAGGUUUCACGUUUCCGGAAAUGGGCCUGGAGCGCUGCACAUGGCCUGCCCACUGCAACCAGCCCAUCAGCGCUUAAUUGACAUGCGCCCGCCACAAAUUUCCAUCCUUGUUUUCAACCUUCUUUUUAGUGCUAACCACUAGUCGUCACAACCAAAUCAAACUAUAUAUACAGGAAGAGCUAUUUACUUACUCCCGAGUAAAGAUGGACCUUUCAAAGGGAAGGGGAGACGUACGCCAGCCAACCACUAGUCGUCACUUCACUACACUACCCUUACCCUGUGCUCAGAGUCAGAGAAAUUCCUUUCUCGGCUAGUUGUUGAUGGAUGCAGGCACAUGUCAUGUUACUUUCCUACGAGAUGUUUCACGCUUCAGGAUACGCCCCCGUGCCGCUCUGCAUCGUAUAUAUCAUCCCACCAUUUUUUGUCUGAUUUUGAUACUGUUAUUUUUCUUAGUUUUAGGCUCCGACGAUCCUUUUCAACAAAGGAUAAAUUUCAUUUAAUCAAAAUGAAAUAUCAAGAAGAUACAAACACAAGUCGGAUUUAGGCUUUCACCUCAUAACACGAAACCAGUUGUCGAGUAGCACCGCCAUCGAAGUCACUCAAGUGUAGUGAACACCGAUUUUCCGCGAUCCUAGAGAUUUGGAUUUCGGCCGAAAAAACUAAAUUUGGCCGAAAUUCGGCCAUUUCGUUAAGGCCCGGUAACUAUGGUUGCUGACGAAAUUAUUUCAGCCCUGUUUGAAUUGUUUGGCCCGCUCUAGCGUCUCGUCCAUCCUGCAUACCCCUUCCGGUGAAGUAAAAGGUCUGGAUAGACCUCCUAACCCUAGAAAGUACGAAUUUCCCCACCUCUCUGUUUUAGCGGCGACGCCUCCCUCGCGCCCAACCACGACGUGUUCGCACCGCCUCGUCCUCCUGAGGGCAUCGCCUCGGCUACAGGGAUGCCUCUGCCCGGCAGCUUCGCACAGCGAGGACUACAAGUACGGCCACGGUACAGCCGUCGGCCAUAGGACUUGUGCGGAUAGCGAGGUGGAAUUGCUCCACGACGAGCCACUGCUUAUGCGGUUGGUUGGGAGCGUGCGCGUCAGUCCUAGCUGCCGAAACGGGACCAGGAGUGGAGCAUGCGUUCGAUUCUGGGCAAGAUAAGUUGUGUGUAGUGUGGGAUUCCUGCUAUUUUGAUGUGUUCUUGAUACGAUUGCUGCAACUAAAGAGAAUCAUGGGUGCAAUCUCUACUCCUAUAAAAAAAAUGAGUUGAUGAUAAUGGUGUGCCUGCCAUCCAACAUUUUUGACCAUCAGAUCUUUAUCUGAUGCACGGGAGUCCUGCUCCAUCCAUCCCCACCUCAUCCAAACAGACAAGGCAUUCGAUCCUUCUAGACAAGGGCUGAAAACAAUGGAACCGAACCCUGCAGGUGGCCGCUGUUGCUCACACCGCGCGAGUGCCGGACUCUCCUCUGCUGUCUCCUCUCUGGCAACACAGCCCCACCUUCACCUCCAAUUAUCCCUCUCUAUGCCCAUUAUCUCCUCUUACCCCGUACCUCGUGUCCUCCGACGCCGACAUCGUCCAUUCCCAAGUCCGCGACACCUCUUCUACCCCCUUCCCUGAUGCACCAAACCCUCCUCCCACCACCUCCUCUCCUCCCCUACCCUAUCUCCUCCGACGCCGACGUCAGCAAGUACGCCACCGGUGUUGUCCCACCUGGCACGAUUCCAUGACGCCUCUCAUGCAGCAGCACCGCCGCCCACCUCCCCCUCUCCCCCACCAACGCGCUCCACAUUCAUCGAAUUCGAGCACGAGCUGCUCCCCGGAGAAUGGAGUGCCACCCACGAGAUCCACACCCGCGUCCUCCUACAGUUGACUUCGCCUCAGAGAUGGCUGAUCUGCUGUGAUGGUUAUGUGGAGGUACUAUGCUCUGCUAUUGCCUCUACUUCCCAAUCCAUCAAAUUUUCUUUAACCCAAAGUUCAAAUCUGUGUGCCCAGCCUAAACUGUCUAGAAACCACUCAUGUAUCCAUAAGCAGUGUCCACUACAACAAUGUUUGGUUUCAGUUUAUUAUCCAGAAUCUUCUUGUGGAAUGAAAUUUUAAGUACUGAAAAUGUUGGUGUAUGCCUAAACCGGUAUUUUACACUGUCAACUCUAUGUUGCUCUUUCUAGAGCUGCAUUUAGAAAUAAUAUAAAGAUUUUUACUCUCCCGAAUAAGCUAAAGAAGGACAGUGCAACUCCAUUGCAAAUUUUACAAAGAAAUGGUCUACAGAGAAGUUCUCGACGUGUAGUACAAGGUCUAAAUCAAGUGCGAUUUCAUGGUUGUAUGGUUCUGAAGUUUUUACAGCCACGAAAUUGCUGCCCAUGUAUGGUUCUGAAGUUUUUGGAGAGAACUUUCAUAAAAAUAACUUAGAUACUUGCUUUUGUGUUCAUGAUAUUUUUUGUAAAAGCAUCAUAUGUGUGUUUAGAAUGAUUUUUUGGUAGUUCUCUUAGUUACUCCCUCUGUUCAAAUAAGUUGGAUGGCGCCUACAGCAGGUCUCUUUGUCAUUGAUGCCCCUCCUUUGCUUGGUAGCUCCACAUCCAUCUUUUCAGGUCACAUCCCAAAUAUUUGUUUCCUUGUUGUGUGUUCUCGGUAUCUUUUUUUGUUGCAGAAACAUGGUUGAUGUAAGCAAGUUACAAGAAGUCCAGUACUAUUUCUCUCUCUCUCUCUCCCUCCCUCUGUGUGUCUGUGUGUGUAAAUGUGCGCUUACUCCUUCUAUAUUCACAUGAUUUCAAAGCAUGUUUUACUGUACAUUUUAUUUCUUUGCUGAGUGUAAAUAUACUGCAAGUGUUGUUCAUUUUCUUGCUUUGUUUAAAUUUACUACAAAUCCUCAAUAGGCUCAUUUUUUUUCCUUUGUCUUAAGCAAGUUACAAGAAGUCCAGUGCUAUUUGUGUGUGUGUGUGUGUGUGUGUACAUGUGCACUCGCCCCUUCUAUGUUCAUAUGAUUUCAAAAGCAUGUUUUACUGUACAUUUUGUUUCUUUGCUCAGUGAAUAUGUACUGCAGGUGCUGCUCAUUUUCUUGCUUUGUUUAAAUAUACUACAAAUCCUCAAUAGGCUCAUUCUUUUUCCUUUGAAUAUAACAGAGACAAUUAUGUAUGCAGUAGUGAUUGUCUGAUCUGAUGUCCUUAUAGGUGAGCAGAUAGAUGAAGCGAAAACCCCAGGAUUCAUGUUGUUGGCACAUAUGUUUUGAGCAAAAAACUAAAAAGAAGGGUAUACUAUGCUUGAAAAAUGAUUCCAUGGCCUGAUAGAUGCCUAAGUUAUGUAACUAAUUAAGUGGAACUAGCUGUGUGAGUUAUGUCUGAAAUAUUUCUUCCCUGCAUGGUGGCACCGUAUACUGAUUCAUUUUUCCUAUGUAUAUUUAGCAAAUCAUUCAGUAAAACACUUCUACUGCAUAAUUAUUUCUCAUGGAACCAUAUAUAAGUGUGCGCUCAAGCUAUAGCAUAUAUGUUCUUUGGAUAUAUUAUUUUCUCCCAUUUGUCUUCACAUUUAAGUCUGGUGUGGCUAAUAUACUGGCACGGAAUGAGCAAUGUCGUUGACUUCCUAGAUGGACUGUAGAAGAAUAACUUGUUUGCUUUCUACAACCUUUCGAAGGAAAGAAGCAGUUCUAUUGCACUAGUUCUAAGGCCGGACAUGAUGUAUGUAUGGGAGAUUGCUGGUUGUCUUGGACUGCUAGUGAUUUGGAAGAUUUGAUGUGAGCGUAGUCGUCACAUCUUUCACAAUUUGGAGUUAUCAGUUGUGACCCUUGCACGCCUUGCAAUUAACAAAGCCAAUGUUGGAAGGACGUGAUGCAUGUCACAUCAUUUUGCAUAGUAGUCGAGCUUAGUGACCCCUGAUCAUUUUGUUUGUACUUUUAUAUACUCUCUUAUAUAUGCAAGUUCUGUAUCAAGUGUUCUCUGUCUUAGAUUUGUCUAAAUACGGAUGUAUCAAGUCAUCUUUUAGUACUAGAUACAUCCGUAUCUAGACGAGUCUAAGAUAAAAAAAUUGGGACGGAGGAAGUAUUUUAGUAAUAUUCUCUGUUGCAUGCUCUAUGUCCCCUUGAUAUAGGAUAAUGAAAGCAUUGAGAAAGGUGAGUAUGGAGAACAAGAAACCUUCUUGUGAGACGAAGAUGGAUAAGAAAUGUUUGGUUUCGACCCCGG